rnacentral:rRNA from 1 species
AACGGAGGGAACGAGUGUUAUUCGUAUUGAUGGGUGUAAAAUGCGUGUAGAUGGUAUUUCUAGUUUAAUAUUAAAUCUCUUUUUGAAAAAAAGGUAAUAUUUUAUACGGUUAUACUUGAGUCUCUAUAAUAUAACAGUAUCUUAAGUGUAAGAUGACAUUUUAAAAUAUUUAAGAGACUAUCGAUUGAUGUAAAUGGUGUUAAGGGAGAAACUGACAUUGAAGCGCUAAAGCGUAGUAGCAAAUAGG